GUUAAAACAAUGAGAAUAUUUUAAACAUCAGCUAGUUGUUUGGAGAAAUAUGAAAAUAUUUGCUAAUUGUUUUGGAGAUCGAGAUAUGAAAAUAUUUGUUAGUUGUUUAGGCAAAUGUUUAAACAUCUGCUAGUUGUUUGGAGGCGAUGAUGACGUGGAGGAGGGGAGGUUGGGGGAGGAUGGGGCUGAGGAGUGGAUGAGGGGCAUCGAAAAAAAGAGAGAGGGUCUUUUGUAAAUUAAAAAAACUUGUGGGUCUUAAAAUAUGUGUCAUUAUCACUAAUUAAUGAAGAGUCCCUUUUACCUAAUUUUUAAAACUUGUGUCCUAAAUCCUCAAAUAGAUAACUCAAAAGUCGUACCGCGGCACGGAAUUAGAAAAUAGCAGCCAAAGCUAGAAAAAGCACAAAGCUUUCCUGUUGAAUGAAUCUUUUAAUUCCAAGCCCCAAUAAAAUAAUUAGAAGAGAAAAAAUAUAUAUACAGUAAUAAACUUCACCAUACAAGACAAGACAGAAGAUACGGUUUACGUGGUUCAGCAACAUUUGUGUAGUUCAAAAAUAGUUUUAAUUAUUGUAAGAAAAAAGAAGAAUGUUGAUGGGAUGAUAUAAAAUUAAGGAGAGACAUCAAUUAUGUAAUGCCUUGAUUAGAGGUUUUGGAUUCAACACUUGAGUAUUAAAAAAUUCUUUGAUAGGAAGCGUUAUCCACAAAUGGAGCCCUGGCAAAAAUUCAAAUAAUUUGCAUACCAAACACGGAGAGGGAAACCAAAAAAAAAAAAAAUAUUGAGGGGAUUAUCAGCUCAAAUUUUUCCAAUUGUUUAUGAUAUGCUGGGAUAAAAAAAGUUGUGCACGGCACACUACCUUUUCUAAUCCUAUAAGAAUUUGAAGUGGUUUCCGAGAAAUACUUCAUGAAGGAGUAGUAGAUAAAAGAGCCAGCUGUGACUUUGUUGAGCAAUUAACACAUGAAAUCUCUCUCGGAGACAAGAAGACGAUUCAAGGUGGUGGUGAUCAGGACCAAGAAUCUGAGGAUGAUUGAAAAUUGAAGAUGAAACAUAGACAAACUUGAUCAAUCUUCGAGAAAUCAUUCGUGCAGCAAUACUCCAUCCAUCCACUUGAAACUAAUAAACUGAGUAAUGUGGCAAAGUUUUUUGCUCAUUUACUAGGUCCUGAUGUUUUGCCUUGGCAUGUUUUGGCUUAUUUAAGAUUUUGACAGAAGAGGAUAGUUUCAUCAUAAUCUUAUUCCAGGAGUUGUCAGUAUGUUGAAUGAGCGUCUUAGUGACCCCUCUACGCAAGAGUCGUUUUGAGUCGAUAUUUCCAAAGCAGAAUCCCAAAAGAACAUGCCAAGGUUUAUCUAGCAGCAAGACAAGCGCGUUCCCAGAUCAAGUGAAUCAGAUGAUGAUCCUCCAAGGAAGAGGAGGACAAGUUAGACUUCGCAGAAAGUUGGAAGGCCAUACAGGUCCAUUCAGUGAAAACUGAGAAAUUAGUAAGUUGUACUAAGCCAAUGUGAUCUCACGCAAAUAGGGAUGGCAAUGGAGCAGGGCGGUGUAGGUUGAAUUCAAUCCGCAAUUUUUUUUAAACCACUCCGCAUAACAAUUCUUUUCAUUUUCAACCC